rnacentral:lncRNA from 1 species
GUAAAAAAUGUAUCAUUUCCUAUCUGCUUUACAGAUUGAAACCCUUGGCAGCAUGCAAUAUGUGUAUCAUUAUUAGAUGUAAAUAAUACAUUUAAAUACUGUUGUGAAAUUUAGAGGAAUAACAACUUAAAUUUUAAACAUUAGUAUAUAAUGUUUGCUCUCCAGUUACAAAAUAUUAAUGCAAUGCUUUAUAUUAAAGGCUUUAGUUUUUGGAUGGUGCUUCUAUUUUCUGUCACAGAAUAUGUCGGUACUGAAGAGAAAAAAAUUGCACAUGGUCAACUGAGAUCCGUGGUAUUUCUACAUCCAUCAACACCCAAAAAUUUGUCAGAGGCAACAUGGAAAAAAGAAAACAUACUGGUGGGGAAAUUUAAAAAUGGCAUCUCUCACCCUUCAUAUAAAUAUAAAAACAGGGCUGAGAUUUUCAGAAAUGGAACCCUCAAACUCAACUGCAUCGUAAAAGAAGAUUUUGGAGUUUAUUUCCUGGAGCUAUAUGACAAAACUGGAAAGAAUAUUUUCAAGGAUAAUAUCACACUGAAAAUAGGCCUUCAGACUUUUAUAAACAUAUCCUGUCCAAUCAGUGGGAAUGAUGAUGAAAAUACCACAAAGAGAGCUCGCGGUUUACUUUUCAUCUGGGUGGGAAUCCAUGUUACAGUUGUCAUAUUAUCAUACAUUAUUUUAAACCUGCGGAAGAAAUUGGGAAAAAAGAGAAAAGAAGGAAACAGAGAACUCCAUUUUCACUUGAACCAACCAAGAGAGGCUGAGGGUCAUGCACAUAGGCUGGAAGAUGCAGAAAAGAACAUCUAUGUUGAAAUGCAUGUGCCGAAAAAUGUGAUUAAAGACGACAAA